UACGGGGGGGGCAAGCGUUGUUCGGAAUUACUGGGCGUAAAGGGCUCGUAGGCGGCCAACUAAGUCAGACGUGAAAUCCCUCGGCUUAACCGGGGAACUGCGUCUGAUACUGGAUGGCUUGAGUGUGGGAGAGGGAUGCGGAAUUCCAGGUGUAGCGGUGAAAUGCGUAGAUAUCAGGAGGAACACCGAUGGCGAAGGCAGGUCUCUGGGCUGACACUGACGCUCAUGCACGAAAGCGUGGGGAGCAAACAGG
rnacentral:rRNA from 1 species